UCCCACUAAGUAAAAUAAAAUAAGCAGAAAAGAAAAGAAAAGAAGAAAGAAGGAAAUCAGAAAGAAAGGGAUGUAAGUGUGCUGGAAACAGCCGAAGGAAAGAAGGAGAAACCAACAGAGAGAGGGAGAGAGAGAGAGAGGAAGGAGGAGAAAGAAAGAGUUCAGCAGUGCUGGAGAAUCCAAGUUAAAGGAAAGGAAUACGAGAAGAGAGGUAAUGAGAGAAAGGAAAAGCUCAAGAAUUUCAGCCCAUUAAAGUUUAAGGGUCAACUACAAGGGUGAACCAGGCAUCUGAACACUGUGAGCAAUUGGAGGAUGAACAUUAGAGUUUGCCCCGGAGUCUACCUCUUUGUCAAGCCACCCAAGAAGUACCUCUAUGUAGAGGCUUUAUUUUAUUUUGUCAGGCUUGAGUUAAUCUUUGUGUUUUGUUAAAAGUCCUCCAUGUAGUGUGUGAGAUAUGUUAUAAAAUAUGCCUUCGUACAUGUA